ACGCGUAGGAAUCUGCCUGAUAGUGGGGGACAACCUGGUGAAAACCAGGCUAAUACCGCAUACGCCCUACGGGGGAAAGGAUGGGAUCUUCGGACCAUUCGCUAUCAGAUGGGCCUGCGUCGGAUUAGCUAGUUGGUGAGGUAAUGGCUCACCAAGGCGACGAUCCGUAGCUGGUUUGAGAGAACGACCAGCCACACUGGGACUGAGACACGGCCCAGACUCCUACGGGAGGCAGCAGUGGGGAAUAUUGGACAAUGGGGGAAACCCUGAUCCAGCAAUACCGCGUGUGUGAAGAAGGCCUGAGGGUUGUAAAGCACUUUCAAUUGUGAAGAAAAGCAUAGGGUUAAUAGCCUUGUGUCUUGACGUUAACUUUAUAAUAAGCACCGGCUAACUCCAUGCCAGCAGCGGCGGUAAUACAGAGGGUGCAAGCGUUAAUCGGAGUUACUCGCGCGUAUAGCGCGCGUCCGCGGGUUGGCCCCCCAGAAGAGAAAGGGCCCGGGCUCAACCCUGCGAACUGCAUUUGAU
rnacentral:rRNA from 1 species